UACGAAGGGGGCUAGUGUUGCUCGGAAUCACUGGGCGUAAAGGGUGCGUAGGCGGGUCUUUAAGUCAGGGGUGAAAUCCUGGAGCUCAACUCCAGAACUGCCUUUGAUACUGAGGAUCUUGAGUUCGGGAGAGGUGAGUGGAACUGCGAGUGUAGAGGUGAAAUUCGUAGAUAUUCGCAAGAACACCAGUGGCGAAGGCGGCUCACUGGCCCGGUACUGACGCUGAGGUGCGAAAGCGUGGGGAGCAAACAGG
rnacentral:rRNA from 1 species